ACCCCUGUUCUCCCCUUCAAGAGGGCCUCCUGGCCUUGAGCAUGCAAACCCAAUCAGCCUAUACCCUGAGGAGGGUUUUUCGUCUUGGGUCGAGAAUUGACCUUGAAGAGUUCAAAAAUGCAUGGCAAACUCUUAUCAAUGCUUUACCUAUUCUCAGAACCCGAGUUGUUAAGAUUGAGUCAGGCUUUUCGCAAGUCGUGGUCAAGGAGAACGACAUUACAUGGCGCGAAGAGAGUUCUCUGGACAAAUUCGUUGAAUGCGAUUCAAAUAUGAGUAUUUCACACGGCGCUCCGCUCCACCGGCUUGGUAUGGUUAUCGAUGAUGCUGGCGACAGGUACUUCAUAUGGACUGUUCAUCACGCGAUCUUCGAUGCAUGGAGCAUAGUCAGAAUUUUCGAGUAUCUCGCCAAAUUAUAUACUCGCAAAAUAACAGUUGGCUCGCUGAUUGCACACCUGCCUCCAUAUUCCUUAUUCAUCCGUCAUCUGUGUGAAAGGAGUGAAUCUAUGGCGAGAUCAUAUUGGCUCUCCGAACUCGCUCAUGGAUCACCGGCUACCUAUCCUCAACAGACAUCUUUUCAUGGUUCUCUACCGCACUCGAGUUUCACUGUCAGCAAAGAUAUAGAGUUAUCCCGGAAAUCUGAGUCAGAUAACGUCACUAUCUCAAAUAUCCUCCGGGCCGCUUGGUCUAUAUUAAUUUCAAAAUACGCUGACUCGAAUGAUAUCGUGAUCGGAGUCACCCUUUCUGGUCGAAAUGCCCCAGUUCCAAAAAUUGCAGAAAUAAUUGGUCCUACUAUAACUACAGUCCCGGUUCGCGUUUGCAUUGACUGGACUGACAACGUACCUAGCUUCCUAUUAA
rnacentral:sRNA from 2 species